GAUGAACGCUGACAGAAUGCUUAACACAUGCAAGUCAACUUGAACUUCGGUUUGGGUGGCGGACGGGUGAGUAACGCGUAAAGAACUUGCCUCACAGAUAGGGACAACAUUUGGAAACGAAUGCUAAUACCUGACAUUAUGAUUAUAUGGCAUCGUAUAAUUAUGAAAGCUAUAUGCGCUGUGAGAGAGCUUUGCGUCCCAUUAGCUAGUUGGAGAGGUAACGGCUCACCAAGGCGAUGAUGGGUAGCCGGCCUGAGAGGGUGAUCGGCCACAAGGGGACUGAGACACGGCCCUUACUCCUACGGGAGGCAGCAGUGGGGAAUAUUGGACAAUGGACCAAGAGUCUGAUCCAGCAAUUCUGUGUGCACGAUGAAGUUUUUCGGAAUGUAAAGUGCUUUCAGUUGGGAAGAAAAAAAUGACGGUACCAACAGAAGAAGUGACGGCUAAAUACGUG
rnacentral:rRNA from 1 species